UUUAUUCAUGAAAAUCAGUUGGAUUCAAUAUUCAGAGUGAAGGUCUUAAGAAAUUGUCAAACAUCGGACCAGAGGCUAAGUUAAAGGAAAGGUUCAAAGUGCUUGAUGAUGGACAAGAUCAUUUCCGUUGAAGAAAGAAGAUAUUCUGCAAAUCAACAACACACAUUCAAAAUACUUCAUAAUUGGUGGAAAGGAGGCUGGCUACAUCUAUUGCCAUAAUUUGGUUCAUUUACAUGCUCUGCAAA
rnacentral:lncRNA from 1 species